UACAUGUCUGACACUGCCACUUUUCCUCCAAUAUUUCUGAAGCUUGAAUCUUAAAUGUUCCCUAAACAUGCAGAUUGUUAGAGGCUCAAUCCCCAGGCAGAAGCUAGCUAUCAGGAGGUGGUGACUCGUUUAAAAGAUGGGGGCAAUUGUGAUGUCCUUAAAUUAUGAAGUGUGUGUCCUUGAAGUGGGUUGUGGGACCCCAGCUUUCUCUUCUCUCCUUGCUCCUUAGCCUGAGGUGAGUAGUUUUGCUCUACCAUACACUCUGGCCAUGAUGUCACAGGUCCAAAAGUAACAGGGCCACCUCAUCUUGACUAAAACUUCUAGAACUAUGAGCCAAAAGAAAUUCUACUCUUUAUAAAUUACUAUACCAGGUGUUUGCUACAGCUCACAAACAUAGUCCCCAGAUUAUAGGUUUGAGCUGCUAAGUACUUGGCUGCUAAGUAAUUUGGCUAGAUAUAGGAUUCAGGGUUAGAAACCAUUUUCUUCUAUUGCUGUCUUUUUGUCCUCCUUUAUGGGAGACUUCGCAUUUAACUUCUAAACCUUCUAUUGAUUUUAUUUUGCUGUAUUUUAAUUUCUAAGAGCUCUUCAUAUCACAUUUUUAUAGCAUGCUAUUUUUGUUUCAUUGUUGCAGUCUCUUACUGUUACAAGAAGUUUUUACAACUAUCACAGAAAAAAAACUGAAACAGUCACAAAAGUAGAGAAAAGGAUUAAUAUUGGAAUUUGGGGAAGUUGUGCUUUCCCCAUACUGCCUCUGUUCUUCCAAGUUUGUUUUAGUCUCUUUCAGACAUAGGCUGGUUAGAUUACUAAUUACCAGCAAUUCUUUGUUGCUGGCUCACAUUUGCAGAUGUGAGGCUGAAGAGCAAAUUCCAAGUUCUCAGGGUGCGUGGAGCCGGCUGACCGUGAGCUCACUAAGGACCACCUGGAUGGCCCACGUCAACGGUCUUUCUUAGUCUUAAUGCAUUCUUAAAUACAUCCAUUCCUCACUAGAGAUCUCUUAACUUCCUGCUCAGAGUGAAGCUUUCCUGUAGCCAGAGAAAUAAGAGGGCUGGGAAUGUCAGCACUCAGCACACUGACAUCCCUUCACCAUUGGGGACCUGGGCUUGAGUAAGGCCUGUGGCUUAGAGCAUGCUAGGCAAGCACUCUACCACUAAGCUACGCCCUCAACCCCAGGCUCAGAGUUUUGUUGCCAACUUCCUAAGAAAUGAUGCCGAUGGCUUCCCUAAUGUUCUUCUCUUCCUUGUGGGUUUUCACCUUUAAAAACUCUAUUUAGGCUGAGUGCUGGUGGCUCACACCUGUAAUCCUAGAUUCUCAGGAGGCUGAGAUCGGAGGAUUGAUGAUGGUUCAAAGCCAGCCUCGGCAGGAAAGUCUGUCUGUAAGACUCUUUUCUCCACUAAACUAC